GCCCUUAGAGUUUGAUCAUGGCUCAGGACGAACGCUGGCGGCGUGCCUAAUACAUGCAAGUCGAGCGCGUGAAGCUAAACUGAUUCCUCCGGGAUGACGUUUAGUGGAACGAGCGGCGGACGGGUGAGUAACACGUGGGCAACCUACCUAUAAGACUGGGAUAACUCGUGGAAACGCGAGCUAAUACCGGAUAAUACAAACGACCUCCUGGUCGAUUGUUGAAAGAUGGCUCUUCGAGCUAUCACUUACAGAUGGGCCCGCGGCGCAUUAGCUAGUUGGUGAGGUAACGGCUCACCAAGGCAACGAUGCGUAGCCGACCUGAGAGGGUGAUCGGCCACACUGGGACUGAGACACGGCCCAGACUCCUACGGGAGGCAGCAGUAGGGAAUCUUCCGCAAUGGACGAAAGUCUGACGGAGCAACGCCGCGUGAACGAAGAAGGUUUUCGGAUCGUAAAGUUCUGUUGUUAGGGAAGAACAAGUACCGUUCGAAUAGGGCGGUACCUUGACGGUACCUAACGAGGAAGCCCCGGCUAACUACGUGCCAGCAGCCGCGGUAAUACGUAGGGGGCAAGCGUUGUCCGGAAUUAUUGGGCGUAAAGCGCGCGCAGGCGGUUUUUUAAGUCUGAUGUGAAAUCUUGUGGCUCAACCACAAGCGGUCAUUGGAAACUGGAGAACUUGAGGACAGAAGAGGAGAGUGGAAUUCCACGUGUAGCGGUGAAAUGCGUAGAUAUGUGGAGGAACACCAGUGGCGAAGGCGACUCUCUGGUCUGUAACUGACGCUGAGGCGCGAAAGCGUGGGGAGCGAACAGGAUUAGAUACCCUGGUAGUCCACGCCGUAAACGAUGAGUGCUAGGUGUUAGGGGGUUUCC
rnacentral:rRNA from 1 species